rnacentral:rRNA from 1 species
UUAAGUGACGCUAGCCUAGGGGAUACACCUGUACCCAUGCCGACCACAGCAGUUAAGCCCUAGAACGCCGGAAGUAGUUGGGGGAUGCCCCUGCGAGAUAAGGAAGUCGCUUAAC